GUGAGGGCAAUGGACAGUGUCAGAUCUGAGUUGCAGCGUCAGGAAGAAUCAGAAUCCCUCAGAAGGUUUCAGUUUGAAGGAAAGUGAUCAGGACUGAGUCUUGCUGGUGAGAACUUACCAAUGGGAUAAUUAGUUUGGUGAUGAAGAUGCCUCAUAUACUGCUCCACAGAUGAAGCUACUGUAAAUACCCAUCCCUCUUGAUCAACUAUCAAUCUGUUUGGGGUGAGAGAAAAGAGACAAAACGUAUAUAUGGUUCAUUUAAAACCGAGUGACAAAAACAGCAUCUGAAGGCAUGUGUUCAAAACAGUCCCAUAUUGGUAUUAUAGAUGGAAAUGCUAGGGGAAGAGAAAUAGAAAUAGAAGAAACAAAAGCCAGCUUUUGUGAGUUCCAGAGCAAUUCCUUAUGAUCCAGAGUCUUGUAUAAGAUGAAGUGGAAGCUUUGGGAUGGCAUUCAGGGUCUCUCCCUGAUUAAGGCACUAUAACAGGCUGUCUUCAUCAAGCCUGGCCCAGUGCCACAACAAAUAGUCUGGGUGUAAUUCACCGCACAUUUCUCUAAGUGCUCUCAGUAUAUCUAUAUAUAGAUACAGGAAUAUAUGUCAUUUUCCAUAUGUUUUCCUGCAAAACAUAAGGAAGGCAAAAAUCA